rnacentral:rRNA from 1 species
AUACCAAUACUUUGGGUUUAUAUAUAAAUAGUAUAAAAUAAAGUGANAAUUGUUAAUGAAAGUUAGAAUUAAUAAGUAUAGUGAUUGUAGGUAAAAUUUAAUUUAUAUAAUUAAUUAUAUUAUUCUAGUUAAUAGAUUCUUUGAAAAUAAGGUUUAAGAAAACUAGGAUUAGAGACCCUAUUAUUCUUUAUUUUAAAAAAUUUUUUAUUUAAGUAGUAAGAGUUGAUGUAAAUUUAAAUUUAUUUGAUUUAUAAUAUGCUUGAAACUUAAAAGGCUUGGCGGUGUCAUACAUCCUUCCAGGGGAGCUUGCUUAUUAAUUUGAUAUUCCUCAAUUUAUACUUACUUUUUCUUGAAUAAAUUAAAACAGUUUGUGUAUUGCUGUCGUCAGUUUAUUUUGUAAAAAUCUUAGAAAAAACUUUGUAAUGAAUUGAUUAUG